AUUGAACGCUGGCGGCAUGCCUUACACAUGCAAGUCGAACGGCAGCGGACCUUCGGGUGCCGACGAGUGGCGAACGGGUGAGUAAUAUAUCGGAACGUACCUUUCAGUGGGGGAUAACGUAGCGAAAGUUACGCUAAUACCGCAUAUUCUGUGAGCAGGAAAGCAGGGGAUCGCAAGACCUUGCGCUGAUUGAGCGGCCGAUAUCAGAUUAGCUAGUUGGUGAGGUAAAGGCUCACCAAGGCGACGAUCUGUAGCGGGUCUGAGAGGAUGAUCCGCCACACUGGAACUGAGACACGGUCCAGACUCCUACGGGAGGCAGCAGUGGGGAAUUUUGGACAAUGGGCGCAAGCCUGAUCCAGCACUGCCGCGUGAGUGAAGAAGGCUCGUGUAG
rnacentral:rRNA from 1 species